rnacentral:rRNA from 1 species
GCAGUCGAGGGGUAUAGGUUUUCGGACCUAGAGACCGGCGCACGGGUGCGUAACGCGUAUGCAAUCUACCUUUUACAGAGGGAUAGCCCAGAGAAAUUUGGAUUAAUACCUCAUAGUAUUAUUGAAUGGCAUCAUUUAAUAAUUAAAGUCACAACGGUAAAAGAUGAGCAUGCGUCCCAUUAGCUUGUUGGUAAGGUAACGGCUUACCAAGGCAACGAUGGGUAGGGGUCCUGAGAGGGAGAUCCCCCACACUGGCACUGAGACACGGACCAGACUCCUACGGGAGGCAGCAGUGAGGAAUAUUGGUCAAUGGGCGCAAGCCUGAACCAGCCAUGCCGCGUGCAGGAUGACGGUCCUAUGGAUUGUAAACUGCUUUUGUACAGGAAGAAACAGUUCUACGUGUAGAACCUUGACGGUACUGUAAGAAUAAGGAUCGGCUAACUCCGUGCCAGCAGCCGCGGUAAUACGGAGGAUCCAAGCGUUAUCCGGAAUCAUUGGGUUUAAAGGGUCCGUAAGCGGUUUUGUAAGUCAGUGGUGAAAGCCCAUCGCUCAACGGUGGAACGGCCAUUGAUACUGCAAGACUUGAAUUAUUAGGAAGUAACUAGAAUAUGUAGUGUAGCGGUGAAAUGCUUAGAUAUUACAUGGAAUACCAAUUGCGAAGGCAGGUUACUACUAAUAUAUUGACGCUGAUGGACGAAAGCGUGGGGAGCGAACAGGAUUAGAUACCCUGGUAGUC